rnacentral:tRNA from 1 species
GGAAGGGUGGCUGAGCGGUCUAAGGCACUCGCUUGGAGAGCGAGCAUCCCGGAAACGGGAUCGCGAGUUCGAAUCUCGCCCCUUCCGCCA